CCGAAAUUAGGAGUGUCUGGUCCUCACUCACGCGGCUCUCUGCUGCUCAGGUCGAUUUUCUCUCCCACCCUCACCCAGGCUCUUUCCACAGCAUCACCCCUGCCCCAGCCCCUGGAGCCACCUGCUUUCCUAAGUGGUUUUGGAAACUGGGCUGAGGUCCCAAAGGGUGUCCACUGUGCUGUUGCUCUCCGCUCUGUCCAAGCAAAGCACAAGCUCAGCCGACUUUGAAAGACACCCACCGCCUGGCCUGGGAAUGCACAAGUUCAGAGCUUUGCAAGAAGUGAUCAUGGGCUAUGGCUUUGUGAAAAUGUCACCCUCACCAGUGCCUUUUUCGCGGACGUGGACGUGGAGGAAUGAGGGAGGGUAAUCACUGGGCUACCAAGGUACUGCUAAGAGCAGAAGAGAAAAUCCCAGUUUUCAGCCAUGUGUCUGGUUUGACAUUUCACCAACCCAUUUAAGUGUGCAGGCCCCCAAAUAUCUACCUAAAGAUUAUGAUAGUUUAGGCAUUUUACACUUGAAAUUAUUGACCUCAUAUCCACUGAAGCCUGACUGGCCAGUGUCUCAAAGACACAGAUGAUGACCUGAUCCCUCAGGAACAGCUGGUGCUCCAGCUUUGUGGAGGUGAAUUUCAAGGAAUAAAUCCAACUUGAUCAUAACAUCCAACUGUGUUGCCCAGGCUAGUCUCAAACUCCUGGAUUCAAGAGCCCCUCUCCUCUCAGCCUACGAAAGUGCUGGGAUUAAAGUCCUGAACUGACAGCCACAAGUGGCACCUGAACAGGGACUUGAACAAAGAAGGUCUGCUGGAGCAGAAAAAGUGAAACUGACCAGAUGAAUGAGAAACCCUGGGAUGAGUCUGCCUGCAGAGGAUAUAAGGAGAUGGAUAAACCGUGUGAGUGCCCUCAAGUUGUGUGCGACCAUGGAAUGGGAGACUGGAGGGAUACAUGGAUCCCAACUACAGGCCCAGCUCCUCCAGUAUGAGCCAUGAGCCAGUUGAAUCUGAAUGUGAAGAUGGAAUGAAGACCGACGAGAGUCACACUGACGUCAACCCUCAUAACAUGGGGUCAGAUCAAGAAAACCACACCAGAAGCUGAGAAACUGGUGUAGUGCCAGGGUCAGGCAAAAACCCCUGACUCCAUGUUUAUGGCCAUGCUAGCUGUAAUAUCCUGUGCAGUAUGAUUUUUCUGUGCAGAAGCAAAAACAUAUUGGGCAUAUUUUCCUAACCCACCGGUAGUGUGAUCAUACUCUGAAGCAGCACUCCUCCUGAGAUAUAUCAUGAUCAAGGAGCAUCAGUACCAGGACCUCUAACUCCCCCUGACACAGAGCAAUUAGACUCUCAUAACAAUGGUAUCAAUUAUACCACUCCAUUGGAGGGACUUCCUUUAUGUGUCACCCAGGAUACAUUGCUCAACUGCAGUUGCCUUGCAGUUUGAUCCCAAGCAUGGUUGAGUUACCAU
rnacentral:lncRNA from 1 species